UACGUAGGGGGGCAAGCGUUGUCCGGAAUUAUUGGGCGUAAAGAGCGUGUAGGCGGCCCGGUAAGUCCGCUGUGAAAGUCCAGGGCUCAACCCUGGGAUGCCGGUGGAUACUGUCGGGCUCGAGUCCGGAAGAGGAGUGUGGAAUUCCUGGUGUAGCGGUGAAAUGCGCAGAUAUCAGGAGGAACACCAAUGGCGAAGGCAGCACUCUGGGACGUGACUGACGCUGAGACGCGAAAAGCGUGGGGGAGCGAACAGG
rnacentral:rRNA from 1 species